rnacentral:lncRNA from 1 species
AUUCAUAAUCUGGCUAAAUAUUUUUUCCUAUAUGGAAGUUCAGUCAUAUCCACAAGAGCCCACAUCGACAAGCUGUCCAUCAUCUACCUGUGUGUGUGUCUACAUCGACAAGCUGUCCAUCAUCUACCUGUGUGUGUGUCUACAUCGACAAGCUGUCCAUCAUCUACCUGUGUGUGUGUGUCUACAUCGACAAGCUGUCCAUCAUCUACCUGUGUGUGUGUGUCUACAUCGACAAGCUGUCCCUCAUCUACCUGUGUGUGUGUCUACAUCGACAAGCUGUCCAUCAUCUACCUGUGUGUGUGUGUGUCUACAUCGACAAGCUGUCCAUCAUCUACCUGUGUGUGUGUGUCUCUACAUCGACAAGCUGUCCAUCAUCUACCUGUUGGUGUUCUACCUACAUCGACUAAGCGUGUCCAUCAUCUACCUGUGUGUGUGGGCUACAUCGACAAGCUGUCCAUCAUCUACAUGGGGUGUGUGUCUACAUCGACAAGCUGUCCAUCAUCUACCUGUGUGGUGUGGUCGUACAAUCGACAAGCUGUCCAUCAUCUACCUGUGGGUGGCUACACAUCGACAAGCGUCCAUCAUCUACCUGUGUGUGUCCUACAUCGACAAGCUGUCCAUCAUCUACCUGGGUGUGUGUCUACACGAAACUGUCCAUCACUACCUGGGUGUGUUCUACACAUCGACAAGCUGUCCAUCAUCUACCUGUGUGUGUGUGUCUACACAUCGACAAGCUGUCCAUCAUCUACCUGUGUGUGUGUGUCUACAUCGACAAGCUGUCCAUCAUCUACCUGUGUGGUGUGUCUACAUCGACAAGCUGUCCAUCAUCUACCUGUGUGUGUCGUACAACGACAGCUGCCAUCAUCUACCUUGUGUGUGGGUCUACAAUCGACAAGCUGCCCAUCAUCUACCUGUGUGUGUGUGUCUACAUCGACAAGCGGUCCUCAUCACCUGUGUGUGUGUGGCGACAAUCGACAAGCUGUCCAUCAUCUACUGU